rnacentral:lncRNA from 1 species
GAAAAUUCAUCAAAAGGCUACUAAGGAUCAGAGUAAAUGAAAAGAGUAAUGCUAUAAUAUGUAACCUGACUCACUGCCACAUUAGAUGCUAAUCAUCAGCAGAGCUGGUGAACAGCAUUAUUCGAACGAAACACGUCCGCUAAGGUCCAUAGGCAUGAGUUGCUUUCCUGAUUCGAAUAUAGUGUGUUUAAAUGAAUAAACAGCACAGAAAGUCAAUCUAUUGAAAAGAAGAAUAAAAGCCAAUAUUCAUCAGACUGAAACUUAAAACAGGGGGAAAAAAAUACUAUGAAAACCAAUCACAGGAAAAGUAUAACAAUACGAAUUCCAGAAUUGCUGUGCCUCAUGCCACUCAGAUGUUGAAUGUGUCGAUGACAAUCAAACCCGGAUAAUUUUCACCUACAGACCACACAUAUCAGAUAUAAUAAAGCCAGAAAGUCCUCACAAUUUACAUUUGCACAAGGACGAGGGGUACCAGAAUUAGGGGACAAGCCCAAUAUCCUUGAAGAAAGAUCAUAAAAACAAUAACCAUCUUGAACCAAUUUCAUUUUCACUUACUGAAUAACAUUCUUAUAGAAAUUAUACAAUUAAUAGUUGAAUUCAUUCUCGUCCCAUGAGAUUGCUUGACUCACUCCUAUAUUUGGAUCAAGAAUAAUUCUUUCAAUAUAGUUAAAAUCUUCAAUUUAUGGCGAAAGAAUAGUGCUAUGUGUAAAAACAAAAAAUCAUCACCAUUUUGGAAGGAAAAUUCAUCAAAAGGCUACUAAGGAUCAGAGUAAAUGAAAAGAGUAAUGCUAUUAUAUGUAACCUGACUCACUGCCACAUUAGAUGCUAAUCAUCAGCAGAGCUGAUGAAUAGCAUUAUUCGAACGAAAUACGUCCGCUAAGGUCCAUAGGCAUGAGUUGCUUUCCUGAUUCGAAUAUAGUGUGUUUAAAUGAAUAAACAGCACAGAAAGUCAAUCUAUUGAAAAGAAGAAUAAAAGCCAAUAUUCAUCAGACUGAAACUUAAAACAGGGGGAAAAAAAUACUAUGAAAAC